GGCGGUGUCGUCUAAUGGUUAGGACGCUAGAUUCUCAUUCUAGUAACCGGGGUUCGAUUCCCCGUAUCGCUACCA
rnacentral:tRNA from 1 species